GCGCUUCCUGCAGGGGGAGGGCCCGCCGCCGCCACUGCCUCCGCCCCCGAGGGGGCGCCCGGCCCGCGGGGCCCAGGAUGGACCAGCGUCGUGUCGCGGAGUUCCUGCUGCGCGCGGAGAGCCAGCGGGGCCGGGGACGACGGCCACCGUCGCUCUGUUCGUCUGUUUAACCCUCUCUGCUGAGUUGGCGGCCUGAGAUGGGAACGCUGAACCCUUCCCUCGACAGGAGAGUUUCUGCUUCCUUCCUAGGCGCCGAGCUUCUUCACCUUGCCUUCAUAGUGGGAGCUAUAGAAAUCACGGCCAUACCUGGCAAAGCUGAAUAUCCCCACACCUACGAAGGAUGAGCAACGACAGAAUGCGAGUCAGAUUCCUGAAGCAAAGACCAAGAGGCAAGCCCCCUGGGUGCAACCAUUACUGGUGAGUGCGUGCAGCCAGGACAAAGGAGGGCACUGCCCCAGAUUCCCUGCCCAAUCUUCUGCUAUCCAGUGUGCCCUGCUCUGGAACACUCAAUGGUCUGGGAUCAAAUUCUUGAAAAAUUGGAAGUUUUUUCCCCCCACAAAAGAAGACUUUUGCAUUUUCUUUUUCAGUUUUUUUUUUUGGCCACACCCACGGCAUGUGGAAGUUCCCAGGCCAGGGAUCGAACCUCCACCAGAGCAGUAACCCAAGCCACUGCAGUGACAAUGCCAGAUCAUUAACCUGCUCUGCCACAAGGGAACUCCACCAAAGAAGUCUUCUUCAAGAGUCCAAAUCAAGUGCUCCUAAUGGAGUGAUGAGGAAGGACCCAACUGGAGUUCCCGCUGUGGCACACUGGGACCGGCGGCGGCGUCUCUGUAGUGCCAGGAGGCAGGUUUGAUCCCUGGCCUUGCAUAAUGGGUUAAAGGAUCCGGCCUUGCUACAGUUGGUGUGUAGGUUGCAACUGCGGAGCUGAUGGCUGGCCAGGGAGCUCCAUGUGCCACGGGGUGGCCAAAAAAAGAAAAGAAAAGAAAAAAAAAAGAACGUUUGAACCACAGGAACUCCUGAUUUCACACUUUAAGAGCACAAUAAGCAGAUGCUUGUGCCAUGUGUCGGUGAGGGGGCUGUGCCUCCCCCAUCCCCCUUCAGAGGAGGACGGCCUGGCCACUGCCCCUGCUGCCUUAGCCACCACAUCUGGGCCACGCCUUCAGACGAAGACCUUCUUCUGUCCUCCACCUCUUUAAACCCAGCACAACUCUAUUCUGCGGCUGGUGCCAGUGACCAGAACAAAUACCCUUGAAACUGACUUCCUGUGACACUUCGGCUAGUUUCAACCGUCUUUGCAUACACGGAGAACAGAGUUUGGUGCACAACUCAUUCUAAAGGGGACUGACCGCUUUCUAACUUGACGUGUUUACAUUACUGCUUUCUCGUAUGCCUCUCUUUCCGUCGCUAUUCCAAAGUAACAAGGAACCUUUUUGUUAAGGAGAUGAAUUCACAGUAAAUUUGUCCAACCAAUUUGGUUCAAAAAGAAUGUACUUUGAGUUCCCUGGUGGCCUCGAGGUUAAAGAUUUAGCAUUGGCACCGCUAUGGCUCAGGUUUGAGCUCUGGCCGAGGGAACUUCUACAUGCUGUGAGUGCGCCCAAAACGGGGAGGAGGGGAGAGAAGAAUGUGCCUCACCGCCGCCUUGGUAUUUGAAAUUUAGGGGAAAGUGCAUUCUGAAAGUUAAGAAAAAGCUACUCAUGUCACAAGUGACCUCCUCUGACCAAACAAGUGUGGGCAUAUUUCACUAUAAUACCUUUAGCAAGAACAGUUUUUUCUUCUACUAAUCCUACAAAUAGACUAUUUCCCUUACUAAUUAAAUAUUCCUCAAUUU
rnacentral:lncRNA from 1 species